GAUGAAGAACGUAGCGAAAUGCGAUAAGUAAUGUGAAUUGCAGAAUUCAGUGAAUCAUCGAAUCUUUGAACGCACAUUGCGCCCCCUGGAAUUCCGGGGGGCAUGCCUGUUCGAGCGUCUCAGGGACGAACCCUCGCGCGGGUGUACGCGCGGUCGUGGCUGCGGUGGCGUGCCCGAGGCGGCGGCCACCGCGCUGGAAUCCAUGGGCGGACGCCUGCCGCGUGGCCGAGCGUGAUAUGACGCAUUGGCGCUCGCACGCGGAGAGGCUGCCACCCCUGGCCCGUCUGUCGGGCGGGGGAGAGCAAGACACGUGAACUCCUCGAAUCAGGUAGGGAUACCCGCUGAACUUAAGCAUAUCAAUAAGCGGAGGA
rnacentral:misc_RNA from 1 species